rnacentral:rRNA from 1 species
AGACCCGAAACCCGGUGAUCUAGCCAUGGGCAGGUUGAAGGUUGGGUAACACUAACUGGAGGACCGAACCGACUAAUGUUGAAAAAUUAGCGGAUGACCUGUGGCUGGGGGUGAAAGGCCAAUCAAACCGGGAGAUAGCUGGUUCUCCCCGAAAGCUAUUUAGGUAGCGCCUCGUGAAUUCAUCUCCGGGGGUAGAGCACUGUUUCGGCUAGGGGGCCAUCCCGGCUUACCAACCCGAUGCAAACUGCGAAUACCGGAGAAUGUUAUCACGGGAGACACACGGCGGGUGCUAACGUCCGUCGUGAAGAGGGAAACAACCCAGACCGCCAGCUAAGGUCCCAAAGUCAUGGUUAAGUGGGAAACGAUGUGGGAAGGCCCAGACAGCCAGGAUGUUGGCUUAGAAGCAGCCAUCAUUUAAAGAAAGCGUAAUAGCUCACUGGUCGAGUCGGCCUGCGCGGAAGAUGUAACGGGGCUAAACCAUGCACCGAAGCUGCGGCAGCGAACGUAUCACUUAAAGCGAUUCAGCGGGUUACGAUUGACGGAGCGAAGCGACGUCAAAGCGUAUACAAAGUCGAGUCGGUUUAAGGAUACGUUCGUUGGGUAGGGGAGCGUUCUGUAAGCCUGCGAAGGUGGCCUGUGAGGGUUGCUGGAGGUAUCAGAAGUGCGAAUGCUGACAUAAGUAACGAUAAAGCGGGUGAAAAGCCCGCUCGCCGGAAGACCAAGGGUUCCUGUCCAACGUUAAUCGGGGCAGGGUGAGUCGACCCCUAAGGCGAGGCCGAAAGGCGUAGUCGAUGGGAAACGGGUUAAUAUUCCCGUACUUGGUGUUACUGCGAAGGGGGGACGGAGAAGGCUAUGUUGGCCGGGCGACGGUUGUCCCGGUUUAAGCGUGUAGGCUGGUUUUCCAGGCAAAUCCGGAAAAUCAAGGCUGAGGCGUGACGACGAGGCACUACGGUGCUGAAGCAACAAAUGCCCUGCUUCCAGGAAAAGCCUCUAAGCAUCAGGUAACACGAAAUCGUACCCCAAACCGACACAGGUGGUCAGGUAGAGAAUACCAAGGCGCUUGAGAGAACUCGGGUGAAGGAACUAGGCAAAAUGGUGCCGUAACUUCGGGAGAAGGCACGCUGACACGUAGGUGAAGU